UACGGAGGGUGCAAGCGUUAUCCGGAUUUACUGGGUUUAAAGGGUGCGUAGGCGGGCCUUUAAGUCAGUGGUGAAAUCUCCCCGCUCAACGGGGAAACUGCCAUUGAUACUAUUGGUCUUGAAUUUAGUUGAGGUGGGCGGAAUGUGUCGUGUAGCGGUGAAAUGCUUAGAUAUGACACAGAACACCGAUUGCGAAGGCAGCUCGCUACACAUAUAUUGACUCUGAGGCACGAAAGCGUGGGGAUCAAACAGG
rnacentral:rRNA from 1 species